UUUUCUGAAAAUGCACAUUGGGCGACGACACUAUAUAACGUGGGUAGUUCUUAUUGAAGCACACGGUUUGCAGUCAUCGGUAAUACUUUAAAAGUUAAACAAAAUAUUCUUUUCUGAUGGCGUAUUCAUUUUACACCUUACUAAUUGGAAUAUUGAAUUAUAGACUAUAAUAUGACAAAUAUCACCCUAAACUUCCAUACGAAAAAUACCCAUACCUAAAUGUAAAAGCCAUCAUUAACAUAAUACGUUUUUCCCGUCAUAAAUUUCCUUGAAGCUAUUAUUGCGACCCUGGCGCACAAUACCUGUUCAAGAAGACAAGGAUAUAUAUAUACCAGUAUACAAGGGAAUAAAGCUAUGGACAGAGAGAAAACAGAGAAAAUGUACUGUGUUAAAUGCGGGAAAAAGACAAAUACCUACAAUAUUGUCAUUAAUAAAAAUGAACACGGUAGAAGACGGCUUGAGGGAAAUUGUUCCAUCUGUCAUAAAAGGAAGUCUAUGUUUGUUUAAUAGGACUACGAGUGUUAUAUUUAUAUGUUUGUGGAAUUGUGCUACACUUUGCUCAUAAAUCAUUGAACGUGUCUCAUGUAUCGAUAACUAUAUGAUUAGAGAUGCUAGGAAUAUACAUGAUACUUACCGAUAAAAUGUAAAACAAUCCAUUGAUUUUUAAAUUUUCGAUGAUUCGAUAAAAAUGAAUAAAGAAAAGAAAAUGAAAA
rnacentral:lncRNA from 1 species